GACGAACGCUGGCGGCGUGCUUAACACAUGCAAGUGGAGCGACGAACCAGGCUUCGGCCUGGGGCAGAGCCGCGAACGGGUGAGUAACACGUGGGUGACCUGCCCCGAUGACCGGGACAACCCGAGGAAACUCGGGCUAAUACCGGAUGUGCUCCCAGCCAUGGUGGGCUGGGAGGAAAGGUAGCUUCGGCUUCCGCAUUGGGAUGGGCCCGCGGCGCAUUAGCUUGUUGGUGGGGAAAGGCCUACCAAGGCGACGAUGCGUAGCUGGUCUGAGAGGACGAUCAGCCACACUGGGACUGAGACACGGCCCAGACUCCUACGGGAGGCAGCAGUGGGGAAUCUUGCGCAAUGCGCGAAAGCGUGACGCAGCAACGCCGCGUGGAGGAAGACGGCCUCGG
rnacentral:rRNA from 1 species